GACGGAGGAUGCAAGUGUUAUCCGGAAUCACUGGGCGUAAAGCGUCUGUAGGUGGUUCAAUAAGUCAACUGUUAAAUCUUGAGGCUCAACUUCAAAAUCGCAGUCGAAACUAUUGGACUCGAGUAUAGUAGGGGGUAAAGGGGAAUUUCCAGUGGAGCGGGUGAAAAUGACGUAGAGAUUGGAAAGAACACCCAAAUGGCGAA
rnacentral:rRNA from 1 species